rnacentral:rRNA from 1 species
AGCAGAGCACUCCUACGGGAGGGCAGCAGUGGGAAUAUUGACAAUGGGCGCAAGCCUGAUGCAGCCAUGCCGCGUGUGUGAAGAAGGCCUUCGGGUUGUAAAGCACUUUCAGUAAGGAGGAAAGGUUAGUCACUAAUAUUGGCUAGCUGUGACGUUACUUACAGAAGAAGCACCGGCUAACUCCGUGCCAGCAGCCGCGGUAAUACGGAGGGUGCAAGCGUUAAUCGGAAUUACUGGGCGUAAAGCGAGUGUAGGUGGCUCAUUAAGUCACAUGUGAAAUCCCCGGGCUUAACCUGGGAACUGCAUGUGAUACUGGUGGUGCUAGAAUAUGUGAGAGGGAAGUAGAAUUCCAGGUGUAGCGGUGAAAUGCGUAGAGAUCUGGAGGAAUACCGAUGGCGAAGGCAGCUUCCUGGCAUAAUAUUGACACUGAGAUUCGAAAGCGUGGGUAGCAAACAGGAUUAGAUACCCUGGUAG